rnacentral:rRNA from 1 species
UACAGAGGGUGCAAGCGUUAAUCGGAAUUACUGGGCGUAAAGCGCGCGUAGGUGGUUCGUUAAGUUGGAUGUGAAAUCCCCGGGCUCAACCUGGGAAUGGCGAUGGAUACUGGCUCGCUAGAGUGCGGUAGAGGAGAGUGGAAUUCCCGGUGUAGCAGUGAAAUGCGUAGAGAUCGGGAGGAACAUCAGUUGCGAAGGCGGCUCUCUGGACCAGCACUGGACCACUGAGG